rnacentral:piRNA from 1 species
CGCGCAUUCGUGACCGGCUAGGAAA